CCUACGGGAGGCAGCAGUGGGGAAUUUUGGACAAUGGGCGAAAGCCUGAUCCAGCAAUGCCGCGUGAGUGAAGAAGGCCUUCGGGUUGUAAAGCUCUUUUGUCAGGGAAGAAACGGUGCGGGCUAAUAUCCUGCACUAAUGACGGUACCUGAAGAAUAAGCACCGGCUAACUACGUGCCAGCAGCCGCGGUAAUACGUAGGGUGCAAGCGUUAAUCGGAAUUACUGGGCGUAAAGCGUGCGCAGGCGGUUUUGUAAGUCUGUCGUGAAAUCCCCGGGCUCAACCUGGGAAUUGCGAUGGAGACUGCAAGGCUAGAAUCUGGCAGAGGGGGGUAGAAUUCCACGUGUAGCAGUGAAAUGCGUAGAGAUGUGGAGGAACACCGAUGGCGAAGGCAGCCCCCUGGGUCAAGAUUGACGCUCAUGCACGAAAGCGUGGGGAGCAAACAGGAUUAGAUACCCUGGCAGUCCACGCCCUAAACGAUGUCUACUAGUUGUCGGGUUUUAAUUAACUUGGUAACGCAGCUAACGCGUGAAGUAGACCGCCUGGGGAGUACGGUCGCAAGAUUAAAACUCAAAGGAAUUGACGGCUGAGAGUAGCGAGGACGACGACGAGGGAGGAGG
rnacentral:rRNA from 1 species